rnacentral:sRNA from 1 species
GACGCGAUGAGGUUCCGGUUCUGUGGUGAUCUGGACUGUCCCGACUGGGUCCUGGCAGAAAUCAGCACGCUGGCCAAGAUGGUUAAGUGCACAGGGUCUACACUGGGUGGAGGAGGGGUGUUGGGCUGGGGAUUGUGGCUGUAGAGGAUGGUGAGGUUUCUCUGGGGCUAGGGCCUCAGUGCUCUCAGCCUGUGCUGCCAUGCUUUGUGACCUUGAUCAGUGGCUGGCCUGCUCUGAGCCUGUCCCCAGGAAGGAGGGGUGAGGUUUGCCAGCCUGGCUGAUGUAAGGACUUCCCUUCCAGUCCUCUGUGAAGUUGCGGCUGCUCUGCAGCCAGGUACUAAAGGAGCUGCUGGGACAGGGGAUUGAUUAUGAGAAGAUCCUGAAGCUCACGGCUGACGCCAAGUUUGAGUCAGGCGAUGUGAAGGCCACAGUGGCAGUGCUGAGUUUCAUCCUCUCCAGUGCGGCCAAGCACAGUGUCGAUGGCGAAUCCUUGUCCAGUGAACUGCAGCAGCUGGGGCUGCCCAAAGGUACGGGUUGUGGGUUGGCAGCUGGGCAGCCUGUCGGCCAAGGGCUGCUAGAGAGGGGACAGGCCCUGAGGUGUACCCUGCCCUGUUUGGGCCAGGAGCCCAAGCCCAGCCCCCACCUGCUACCUCCAGAGCUUCUCCAUUCUACCCCCAGAGCACGCGGCCAGCCUGUGCCGCUGUUAUGAGGAGAAGCAAAGCCCCUUGCAGAAGCACUUGCGGGUCUGCAGCCUACGCAGUAAGUAUGAGGCCAGCCAGGGUCCGGGCUCAUUCUAGAAGGUGCACGCAGCACGCAAAGUGCAUGGAGAGUCCAGGGAGACGACUUAACCACGGUCACAUGGUUACUAGCAGCCGUAGAGCUGGGACCUGGCCCUGGGUCUCCUGACUCCCCCCAAGGUUUCUUGUCACUGAGGUCUGCUGUGGGUGAUGCGAACUGAUUAUCGGGC